GUCCACGCCGUAAACGAUUGAUGCUAGCCGUUGGAUAGCUUGCUAUUCGGUGGCGCAGCUAACGCAUUAAGCAUCCCGCCUGGGGAGUACGGCCGCAAGGUUAAAACUCAAAGGAAUUGACGGGGGCCCCGCACAAGCGGUGGAGCAUGUGGUUUAAUUCGACGCAACGCGAAGAACCUUACCAGCUCUUGACAUUCACUGAUCGCCUGGAGAGAUCCGGGAGUCCUAGCAAUAGGCAGUGGGACAGGUGCUGCAUGGCUGUCGU
rnacentral:rRNA from 1 species